AGGAACUACUAGGUCCUUCUACUAGAUACAGGAUCUACACUCCAAACAUGAACAACAACGUUUCCCAGCCUGGGCAGAAUGGAGUUGGGAAGAGUGCAGCAGGAAACUCACCUGUUCUCCUGAGAAGACAUGCCUUUACAAACAUUGAGUUUAUGACUUUUGGCUCCUUGCCACCUGGAACACAAUGGUUUCAGUUUUGCAUCCUCCUCAUAACCCACAUUUAACUAUAUUUAGAAAUCUGGAACCUAUCAGUGUGUUGUGUUAUUUUACUAAAAGCAGAGCAUAUGAGAUCAUACUGGUGAUAAAGGGGCAGGAGAGGGACCCCAACACAAUUAGAGUGUAUAUUUUUGGUGUGGAGUAUACAGUAUGUAACACAAGAAGUUGUAUAUUUGUGUCAUUCUAAAAACUUUUGGCCACGACUGUACACCUGUGUCAAGGCUGGGGUMCGCCCAUGUAUARGGCUGGGGUCCGCCUGUGCAUGGGAGUAAAUCUGUAUAUCCUCACCUCGGAUGUUACCCUCCGCCGCAGAGUGAUACCAAUAUAUUGGAGGGAUCCAAUAUAGUGAAAAAUAACUACCUGUUAUCUGUCCAGGGUCCAGSCAUCUAGCGUGACGCGAAAAAGCUAUAAACAAUAAAUGUCACAUGACCGGAUGAGGUAACCUUUCUUGUUCUUCUUGUAACUUUCUGGUAGACUAGAAGCUUUCUGGUGUUUUGCUGCAUGUCCCACGUCRACGUAGGUAUUGCACUUGAUUUAUAGCUCUCAUAACCGUACGUACAGCCCAAUGGAAAUACAAAAGCUUUCUAGCUAUUUCGCACUAAUGGUAAUUUUAACACAUGAACGUUUCUAGUUAAAAGGUGCUUACACUCAGAGCCAUGUAUUUACACUCAGCCAGCUCAAACUACAAUUCCACUCUAGCCUAAUUACUGGUUAACGUUUUGGUCAUUUUGGUUGGCCAAAAAUAUUUUAAGACUACAAUGACUGCAUACAUUUCCUAAAAUGUUAUACAAAAAAAGUGGUAUUGAUGGACAACGGACAAAGCCGCUAUUGUAUUUUCAGUUACAUUCUGGUCAAUAAUAAUGGUGUACACUUUUGUUUUUUGUAAGAAAUA